ACCAGUUAAUGAAUAAUAAGUGUGUGGAGCUACCAAAACUAAUUGCAGCAAAAAUGAUUUGAAAUAAAAUUAUUUAAUGAAUGACAUUUAAUAAAAUGAUAAAUAUAUGCAAAUCCAUAACCAACUCUCUGGACAUUGUGCACAGUCUGGCUAGAGCUCCCAAUGCUUGAGUAGCACAUAACAAAUUUGGGGUGAUUAUAAGCCAGAUAUAUAUUACUUUUAACUACAAGGAAAUUAGUACAAGAAUGUUCUUUGUUUCAGCACACCUCAGGCUAUUUAAAAAAUGCAUCAAGGGUUAAAUGUGGUACAGAUAUUACAGCAAAGAAAUGUAACAUCUUAUAAAGAGUCCUAGACCAAUCUAAAUGUUGAAAUUGUCUUGUUAUUUCAUCAUAAAUUGAAUAAAAUAGCUCAAAUGAUCUGGAUUAAAUGUGUUACCGCGUGGAAGAUGCAUGCAGCAGAUAUACACACAUGUUUUGGGUACCUGAGGAAUGCAUGCUUUUAGUGCUAAUACACAUAGCCUUUCCAAAUUAAAUUAUGAGGCAGCUUUGAAUUUAAUGGUGAUCAGAAUUUGACAUUGGCUUGUUGCACUGUGAAUUGCAUCAAAUAACCACCAAACUGAAACGAGAUGAAAGAAAAUGAAGCUGCUUCCAAAAAUGCUUUAAGAGGAAGCUCUUCUCACCCCACUGCUAACCAGUAAUACAAACAAUUUCAACUUUAGUUUCUGGUCUAUGAACGUUAAUUAUGUAAAAGCCCCUAGUUGCAAUUAGCUGGUUUCUGUGAAACUUCAAUUGUUGGCUACAUCGUUUAGCAGACUGUACUGGGUAUAUAUAGUUGCAGCAAAAAAACACAUCUGGCCAAUCCCUUUGUUCCCUGUUUAUCUUAUUAUUGAUUUUUUAACAAAUCUGCAUACAUAUAUGCUGCUGGUUGUUCCUUCAGCAGUUUGGACUACUUUUGGACUGAAAAUUAAGCUCCACUGCUUAUAUGACACUGUGGAUUUGGAGGGCAAUGACUGGUUGCUUAUUGAUGUACUGAGAAAAUGGCAUAGAAAUGUUUGACCAUUCUAAAUAGCUGAAAUAUCCAUUGCAAGGCAUUAAAAGGUGGCUUGAUAAUUGCCUAUCGAUAUUGGCUGAUUAUCUUUCAUUUAUAUUUAUUUCAAAAUGUAUGACAAUUGUUUAGAUUGUGUGCUCUCACCCCACUUUCCUCCCUGCAUACAUUGAGUUAUCUUGGUCUCUCCAUUUGAUAAGGUGCUGGGAAACUUCAGUACACUCAUUAUCCUGAAUCUCCCCCUGACAGGUUUUAAACCCUGUGAGCACAUUUAGCCAUUAAAUGGAAUUUCUACAAUAAUUUAGGGCCUAGAAGUUAAUCUGUUGGCGAUUGCAAUUGAGUAUAGAAAUUUGGUAGUUGCACGACUCUCUUUCCAUUCACCAAUAUCAUUCCUAUAGUGAUUGCAACCUGAGGUUGUAACAUUUUCAGAAGUGCAUUUAUAAAGAGGUCCAAGAGUGCAGUGUAUUAUCGCACUGUCUUUUCAACUUCUGGCAUCUGGAGUUUGAACCUUGUGCAGACUAUGGAGAUACACCACUGCUGCUAGCCUUUGAGGAUUCUAAGAGAAGAGUGUGAUCUUCAUUGCCGCUGCGCCAAAGCCUCUAACAGCAAAAUGGGAGUACUUGUAUCACAUGCGCUCCUACGUUCAGGGUAAAGGCCCUCCAUCACCUUCUCAAAGGGCACUGAGGGAUGGGCAACAAAUCCCAGAAUUGUCAGUGACAGCCCUUACGCCGAUAAAUAAUUUCUUUUAAAAAAAAUUCUUGGUCUAUUGUCCAUUGGCACUUGUCCAAAAGACAGGACUAACUUUGUAUAAAUGGCCACAAUAUUGGCCAGGGUUUAUCGGCCCCCACCUGUGGCAGGGAUCUGUCGCAGGCAGGAAUGGAGAAUUUGGACAGCUAGCCAAAAGUCCAUUGACUUUCGGUAGCACUGGAAAAUCCCAGCCGUAAGCAAGGGCUGGGAAAUCCUGCCCGUUGUCUUUGCUGAAAUGAGAAAUGGAAAAUGUCACACUGGUGCAGGAAGGAUUACUCUGCUGGGCAUGGAGUUAAUCACGCCUCAUUGAAAUAGUUAAAAAUGGAAGUUUUUCUCUGUAACUGGUGUAUAGUACACCUGAAGCUGAGGCCAAGGGUAGAAAAAUGUUUGAUUCUCCAGUCAUGACAUCAAUGGGCAAUUAAAUAACUUUUAAAAGUCAGCCUUGAGCAGGAUUGUCCCCUCACAUGAAAAAAUAUAAACUGAUAAUUUACCAAAAAUACAUAUUAUUGUGUCCUUAAAACCAGGAAUGCAGUCCAAAUAUUUCCUUUGAUUUAGUCAGCAAAUGUAUUCCAACUUCUAUCAUUAUGUAUGGAGCCCUGGAAUUUGUAACCAUUCCUUUGUUAGAAACCCUUCAUUGUUGUUACUGCGCAUCCUGUGAUGCAUGUUCAAUUUGAAUGGAAUACGCUGCUGAGACCAAGUUCAACAGGAGCAGUGGGAUUUUGCCAUAAAUAACCAGGACCCUACCUUCACUAUGGGUUCAAUGGGCUCAUUGUCAUCCUGGUGGAAGCAUUGUUCUUAUUAAACUUUGUCUAGCAACAACAAAGAUAUCUGGACAAUUGCAGGCCAAAUCUUUCGAGAGCUAGGUCAACAUGUCAGGAGAGUUUUGCCUAAAAAAGGGAACAAGUGUUAGUGAAAUGUUGACACGUUUAUCUAGCCACUACUGAUGUGGUGCAAGUAACAGAAGGUUUCCCAAAGCUAAAAUGGAGCGGCUAAGUGAUCAGGGCUGGUACUUCUGGCCUUGAGAAGAAUUGUUCCAUCACCUGUCCAUUUCGAACGUACUGGGAUCACCAAGGAUUCCUGGGCUACAGCUGUGAAUUCUGUUGCCAAGAGUCCCUGAGUGGAAAAAUUCCAUGUCCAUCAGGAAAUAAGCAACCGGAG